GAAGCUAGAGUUUCAGAUUCCCGUCUACAACUUGUAGAAACUGUGAUGUUUUCAACCAUAAUGGUGACUAUUGUGGUCUCAUUGCUAAUAUGGCAUGGCUGACAGUUCCAGUCCUAUCUUUGCAAGGAGUUGAUCCCUUUGGUGAUGAUAAAAAUGAAGACGUCAUUCAAGGGGACUAAGAGGCACAACAAGCUAACCAAGUCAUAUCAACAACAUCAAUUAGAUCAAGAGGAAGCCCUCCAACAGUCCCAGCCAAUUAGUGAGGCAUCUCAAAUGAAAACUCCCAGAAUUCUCAAAUUGUGGAAAGCAACGGUGAACAGUCAAGAGGAACAAUUCAUGAUGUCCAGGAAGAAAUAAGAGGUGAAGAUAGACUUAGGCCUCCUCCUAACUCACCAGUGGCACAUCAAAUAAGUUUCGGAGCUGGAGAAAAUAGAGGAAAUAAGCAAAGAAGAGCAGAUGAUAUGGAUGUUGAUGGAAUGUAUUUAGAAAACCUCAAUAAGGAUAUCAGUUCUGCCCUUAUUAGACUUGCAGAAGAAGUAAGGAUGAUUCUUAUACUAUGAAAAAGAAGUGGAUAUAGGCUGACACUCUAGACGGAUAUCUGAAUCAAGGAGAAUCUUCUGGCAGAAAGGAGACUGAAACUAGCAAUGACCAAGACCAAGAUGCUGGAAAUGCUACUGCUGCUUCUGCAGAUGCUGGGACUCUAGUUCUCUCCAAUCAGGUAGACAUAACGGGUCUAAAUGCAUCUUCUUAGAGACAGCGCAGAGUCCAGAACAGGUGGAUUGUAAAGGUUUGUGGCAAGAAAUUCAACGGGCAGAAGAUAUGAAGCUGGAUAAAGUGAUUUUUGAACUGGACUCACAAUUGGUGGCUGAUGCAGUCACCAAGGAAGACUUCAAAUCAGACUGGAAAAAAUUUGUAAUUUGAUUUUAGAUAUUAAGAGUAUUAUUAAGAAUAAAAUUUCUUGGCAAUGUUGUUAUGUGCCUAAAAAAAAACCUAAGGUAGCAGAUGUCUUAGAAAAACUAGCUAGAGUAUGUCUGGAUCUUAGUUAUCUCUGAAGACAUUUUACCUCAAUUAAAACAGGAUGCAAAACAUGUAAUCUCUGACACUUGAUCAAUAAAAUUUCCAGUUUCAAAAAAAAA